rnacentral:rRNA from 1 species
CUCUAGAGAUAGAGCUUUCCCCUUCGGGGGACAAAGUGACAGGUGGUGCAUGGUUGUCGUCAGCUCGUGUCGUGAGAUGUUGGGUUAAGUCCCGCAACGAGCGCAACCCUUAAGCUUAGUUGCCAUCAUUAAGUUGGGCACUCUAGGUUGACUGCCGGUGACAAACCGGAGGAAGGUGGGGAUGACGUCAAAUCAUCAUGCCCCUUAUGAUUUGGGCUACACACGUGCUACAAUGGACAGUACAAAGGGCAGCUAAACCGCGAGGUCAUGCAAAUCCCAUAAAGUUGUUCUCAGUUCGGAUUGUAGUCUGCAACUCGACUACAUGAAGCUGGAAUCGCUAGUAAUCGUAGAUCAGCAUGCUACGGUGAAUACGUUCCCGGGUCUUGUACACACCGCCCGUCACACCACGAGAGUUUGUAACACCCGAAGCCGGUGGAGUAACCAUUUAUGGAGCUAGCCGUCGAAGGUGGGACAAAUGAUUGGGGUGAAGUCGUAACAAGGUAGCCGUAUCGGAAG